GAGUGAGAAGUCUGACUAUCCGGAGAUGGCGGUGAGUAUAGAGAAUUUCUGCUAGGUCUCCUGUGUUUCAGCCAUCCCAGCCCAGGCACCACGACACAUUAUCAAAGGACUAUCUUGGACCUUCUCAUCCCAGCAAACAUCCAAUGGAGAAGAAUGAAGACUCCAGGCAUAUGAUCCCACUCUAGCCAUCCCAGGAGCCCCCAGCUAUCCAAACAACUACAGCUGUGGCCAAAAACAUCGUGUAUCAGGGACAAACUCUCUGCUUAUGGCUGCUCUAAUCCUUGACCUACAGAAUCAUGAAAUUUGUGGAUACGGUCAUGAUCUUGAUUUUGGCGAUGGUUUCACAGUAACUCAUGCUUUCAAAAUAUCAGGAAGCAAAUGAGAAAAGGAAAAAAAGACAUUCAUUGUAUAUGCUGUGAAGUAAUCCUGCCAAAGGACACUUUGGGCUCCGCAUUCCACGUGUGGCUGGGGAAGCCUCACAAUCAUGGUGGAAGGCGAAAGGCACAUCUCACAUGAUAGCAGACAAGGGAAAAGAGCUUGUGCUGGGGAACUCCUUUUUUAAAACCAUCAGAUCUCGUGACACUUAUCUACUAUCAGCACGGGAAAGACCUUCCCCCAUGAUUCAAUUACCUUCCACCAGUCCCUCACAUAAUAUAUGAGAAUUCAAGAUGAGAUUUGGGUGGGGACACAGCAAAACCAUAUCAGUCACCUUUGGAGAAUACUAGAGAAUUAACUAACUAUUCUGAAAAUCAGUAAUUAAAGGGAAAGAAGCAAACAUUUUUUCUGUCUUUCCAUAAAAAAUUGUACUUUGAACAACCAAAUGGGUGAUAAUGAAAGAAAGUUCCUCUUUAUAAAAGUAACUGAAGAGGCCAGGCGUGGUGGCUCAUGCCUGUAAUCCCAGCACUUUGGGAGGCCGUGAUGGGCAGAUCACUUGAGCCCAGAAGUUUGAGACCAGCCUGUGCAACAUAUCUAGACCCUGUCUUUAAAAAGAAAGAAAAAAUUUAAAACAGUAACUGAGCAUCAGCUAUUGUGGGCACACUGCCUAUGGGUAGCCCUGCUCCACAAGGAGCAGUUAAAAAAAAAAGUAACUCAGUAGAUAAAUGAGAAAGGAAUGAUAAUUACAAUAACAAGAUGUGGCAAUCCUGAUUUAAUUAAUGAAUCUAAGCAAAAAGCAAUGGCUUUGAAUAGAACACAGAAAAGAAACAACUAAAUAUUAUGUGCCUCCUGGUUGAAAUAUACACAAUUAUCUAUGAUUUCAUCUUUUGAACCUGAAUCUGAUCAAGCCUCUAGAUCUAUUCAUCAAUUUAUAUAAAACACAAGAGACACAGAAAAGACAAAGGAAUGUACUAAACUACAGCAUGAGGUACAAUCAAGCAAAAUUCAUACCAUGGAAACUAUAGAACAAACAAUUUAGUUUCUUGCAGAAAUAAAUUGCAAGGGAAAAAUAAAGACAUGGUUAAAGACACUUCGGAGAUAUGCUUACCAGAUGCAAUUUAUGGAUGUGUAUUAGCGUUCUCCAGAGAAACAGAACCAAGAGGAUAUAUAUGGGUAUAUAAGAGGGAAUUUGUUAUGGAAGCCAGCUCACAUGAUUAUGGAGGGUGAGAAGUUCCACAACAUCCCAUCUGCAAGCUGUACAACCAAGGAAGCCAAUGUUGUAAUUCAGUCUGAGUCCGAAGGCCAGAGAAACUGGGGCCAUUGGUGUAAUCUUGGAGUCUGAAAGCUCAAUGAAGUCAGGAGAAGAUGGAUGUCCCAGCCCCAAGAGGGAGAGAAUUUGCCCUUCUCUUUUUAUUCUAUUGGAACCCUUAACAGAUUGGAUGAUGCCUGUCCAUAUUGAUGAGGGUGGUUCUUCUGUACUCAGUUUACUGCUUCAAAUGCUAGUCUCUUCUGAAAAUUCUCUCACAGACCCACCCAGAAAUGUUUUACCAGCUAUCUGGCUAUCCCUUAACCCAGUCAAGUUGACACAUAAAAUUAACCAUCACAGAAUGUUAUUUGGAUUCAGAUUUUA
ensembl:lncRNA MROCKI MARCKS cis regulating lncRNA promoter of cytokines and inflammation